AACUUUUCAUGUUCCCUCAAAGGCUUCCAGUAUUCGGUCAUAUAAUUACUUGAAUGCUGGAAGGUUUUGUAGGAACUUGAUAGCUU
rnacentral:pre_miRNA from 1 species